AUUGAACGCUGGCGGCAGGCCUAACACAUGCAAGUCGAGCGGAUGAAGGGAGCUUGCUCCUGGAUUCAGCGGCGGACGGGUGAGUAAUGCCUAGGAAUCUGCCUGGUAGUGGGGGAUAACGUCCGGAAACGGGCGCUAAUACCGCAUACGUCCUGAGGGAGAAAGUGGGGGAUCUUCGGACCUCACGCUAUCAGAUGAGCCUAGGUCGGAUUAGCUAGUUGGUGGGGUAAAGGCCUACCAAGGCGACGAUCAGUAACUGGUCUGAGAGGAUGAUCAGUCACACUGGAACUGAGCCACGCUCCAGACUCCUACGGGAGGCAGCAGUGGGGAAUAUUGGACAAUGGGCGAAAGCCUGAUCCAGCCAUGCCGCGUGUGUGAAGAAGGUCUUCGGAUUGUAAAGCACUUUAAGUUGGGAGGAAGGGCAGUAAGUUAAUACCUUGCUGUUUUGACGUUACCAACAGAAUAAGCACCGGCUAACUUCGUG
rnacentral:rRNA from 1 species